CGCCCUGCCCGGGCUCUGCCUGCGCCUCCCGGCCGCCGGCACCCAACCGCCCCUUCGGCCGCCCUUUGCUCCGCGCCCCCGAAAGCACAAAUGUGCCAACCUGCCCCGCCCGAGGUCGGAGCAGCCGUCGCUACGUGCGAGCCCAGCGCCCCAAAAGCUUCAAGAACCGUCGAGCUGGUGCUCUGACCCCCCCAGCGCUGAGUUUUGCGUGUUCUCAGCUGGGGGGGGAGCCGGCCGCUGCAGCCUCUGGGGCAUGCGGCUCUCGGGGGCUCCGCUGAAGGAUGUCCCCGAGUGGCCAAGGGUCGGGGUCACGACCUGCCUCGCCCGCUCAGGGCUGGACGCUGCAGGUUAAAGGACUUUUUUUCUCUCACUUAUUGAGAAUAUGAAGCCAAAUCUUUGCGGAAGUGCAUCCAGGCCGUGACCGGAGAUUAAAAUAAGGUGCAGAA